rnacentral:misc_RNA from 1 species
CGCACAUUGCGCCCAUUAGUAUUCUAGUGGGCAUGCCUGUUCGAGCGUCAUUUCAACCCUUAAGCCUAGCUUAGUGUUGGGAGUCUACGAGUGGGCCACGUUACCCUGUAGCGUGGUUACCCUGUAGUUCCUGAAAAUCAACGGCGGAUUUACAGUAUCCUCUGAGCGUAGUAAUUCUUUAUCUCGCUUCUGUUUAGGUGCUGUGACUUCGGCCGCAAAACCCCCAAUUUUUUUGUGGUUGACCUCGGAUCAGGUAGGAAUACCCGCUGAACUUAA